rnacentral:lncRNA from 1 species
AUGGGCCCGCGGCCAGGGGCUCGACGUGUCUCCCCCUCACUGGAUCUGGGGCUCCGAGAGGGGCGGGCAGCAGAGUCUGGGCCGGGACCGGGUCCCAGAGCCACGUUAGCGGGAGGAGGGGCUGGAGGGGCCUGCAGGCGCAGACAGAGUGAGGAUGAGAGCGGGGGUUGGGGAGCGGAGGCGGGUCUCCCAGGCCAGAGAAACAGGGCCAGAGGCUGGGAACCAAAGAGAGCAGGCCUGCGGCCGGCGCUGAGCGGGGUCCGCCGGCUAAAGGUUCAGUCUCCAGCUAGGCUCUCCUCCUUGGGAGACUCUGGCCUAACAAAGCCCCGGGGCGAGUGGGGUGAAGAAAGGAGAAGGGCGCGGGGACUGUUGUUUCUCGGGGGCCCCCUUCCCCGACUCUGCCCCAGCCAACCUCCUGAGAGGUGCUCAGACUCCCGCUUGCACAAGGACAGAGGUGCAACCGUGACACCAAAGUCCGGAACGACGCGUCCCCCUUCCCAUCCCUGCAGAGACAUCGAGAGGAGGGUCCAGUUCUCCGCGGGUUUCGGAGCCUUAGUUUCCCUGCCCGGGAGUCAAGGCACCAGGGUUUCCACCCUCUGCACGGUGCGCGCCUCAGAUAAUCCCCUUUCGCGCUCCCCAAUCCAGGGGACGCGACUCAGAGAAGCCCGGUGGGAAGAGGAGCCCAGACGCUGCGCCCAACAGUGCACUGACGGGGCUCGGCCACGGUCCCCUCCUCCCUCCAAGCACCCCAACUCCGCUGACCCUCUCCACCAGCCAGGCACACAGCGCGCUGGCACCCUCCCGGUUCCCUCUCGCACUUCGGAACGUUGUCCCCAGCUGCGGCGUCCCCCGUCCUCCUGGCCUCCCCUGCAGCCCCAUCUCCCCAAGCUCCGGGGUACUUGCUCCGAGAUCCGGGUCAGCGGGACCGAGAUCGCAGCGGGCGGGCAGCAGCCCCGCACCACGCCGAGUUCGCAAUCCGUGAUUGGGGCUCUGGCGAGAUGUGAUGAGCGUCCGAAUGGGAUGGAGCCCGGAUCUGAGCUCCCGGCCGCUGUCGGGUCUGGCAAGCCGCGGGUCCCAGUCGCAGCCCCCACUCCCGCCGCGGCUCCGCGCAGGAAAACAAUGCGACCGCCCGGGGCUCUGGGCCGGGCCCCAGCCGCCCCGCCCGCCUCCCGGCCGGCUCCGCCUCCCGCCCGCCUCUGGGCCUCCGCAACCAAUCUGGCUCUCGGAAGCUGGCUGGACACCGCCUUCUCGACACCUCUUCACCAAUAG